GCAGCAAGAUUGGAUUGCUUCGGUGUUACAGCAGCAGCAUGGCCAUGGAAAUAUCUUGCCACCGCCACCACCACUGCCACCUCCGCCAGUGUUGCCUGAGUUAUAUCCUCUGAGACCUCCUGCAGCCGAGGGAUCAGGAGUAAAUGUGAGAGACAUCAGCCAAUCCCCUCCAG